CAUUUCCGUUAGUUAGUUCCCGGUACACUUAGGUGACGGAAGGUUGUCACGUCUCCCGCUGACGGAAUAGAAACUCGUUCCUAAGGACCGGUGCUAGUUUUGACUGGAGCAUAUUUCCCUGCAGGUAACUCAUCGCUGUCGGUGUCUGUCAGAACUUCCGUAGUUUCUUUUGAGAGAAAACGAACUUUCCCGUUUCACCGCGAAUAUUUUUGCGGUAAACUGACUGGAAGCUUUGGCGCACAUUCCUAAAUCUUAGGUGAAUAGUGUAAAGUGCUAACUACUAACUAGCGGCAUUGCUGUUGGUGUUGAAGAUUUCCCAUCCUUUCUUAUUUCAACAAAAAGCAGCACUGAAAGGUAUUUAGAUUUUGAGCCAUAUCACGGUCUGGAGCAAUACAAUCUGUCUAAGGUUUAUAUUGUUGAAAAGCAAACAACUAAAUAAGUAAGAUGCUGAAAGUUCUGCUAUGUGCUGCUGUUUCCCUGUGCUAUGUACAAGCUAGUUAUGGCAACGUUGCCAGCAAUGCUACCACAGCUGGACAGGAAGAUGCUAAGCUCGUGUGCAAACCUCGGAAAAUAUAUGUAACAUGGGAGAGGGUGAGAAACUAUUUGGUUCAUCAUAAAGGGCAGUUCACAAUACCUGGGACGUGGGUUGGAGAGCCGUUGGCAGUGAUGCGCUGUCGCGACUUCUUGGACCCUGCAGAGCCGAUGGGUUCUACUGUGGCACUGGGAAGGAAGAAAUGCACACAACAUAUAUGCCAGUGACUGCUAGGGGAAAGAAGGUUGCCAACAUUACGCUACAAUAUGUUCAGGAUACAACAUGCAAAUGUUCAAAGAAAAAACCUAUUGUGGACAAUAUUGAAUCACCUCCCUAUAUCUUUAAAUCUUCUGUGGUGAUGGUUUGAUUGUCCCCCCCCCCACAAUCGCCCCCCCACCCCGCGUCCCCAACACUGUCCCUUUCUCUCUCACUUAACUCCCCAAGGCACGGGCUCUUAGUGUUCAUAAGAUCGCCUGUAACUACGAUUCCAUCCACAUGUAUUAAAACAGGUCUGAGCAAGAGCCCGUGCUGGUAUAACGCCUUCUAAGUUACAAACAUCCAAAGUUAAUAAAGAUAUUUAUUUAGAA